rfam:Astyanax mexicanus Tnplaced_Scaffold3575, whole genome shotgun sequence.
GUCAGGAUGGCCGAGCGGUCUAAGGCGCUGCGUUCAGGUCGCAGUCUCCUCUGGAGGCGUGGGUUUAAAUCCUAUUUCUGACA